rnacentral:rRNA from 1 species
UUUAGAUACCCCACUAUGCCUGAGCCUAAAUAUGCAGAUGCCAAAAAACUACACCCAGUUAAACUUAAAAGACCUGGCGGUGCUUGAAAUCUAUCUAGAGGAGCCUGUUUUUUAAUCGAUAAUCCACGUUAAACCUUACCUCCUCUCGCUUAUCAGCCUAUAUACCGCCGUCGACAGCCCAUUUUACAAAAAAUGCAGCAAACCAGGCUAACCCCCUAACACGACAGGCCAUGGCGUAGCUAAUGAGAAGGAAAACAAUGGGCUACAAUACCCUAACAUUUAAACGAAAGUCAUGUUGAAAAUUCAGGACGGAAGAAGGAUUUAGAAGUAAGAAGAACAAGAAAGUUCUUCCGAACACUGCCCUCAAGCACG